AAAACACUUCAGAGAAAUUGAAAAAUAACUCAGAUACCAUGACAACGCGAAGGCUCUUUGUCGUCUAAUUGCUGUUUUAGGUCAAGUACUUACAUUUAUUUCGUCGUUUGCAAAAAUUUUGUCCCGGCACCAUUUUUCAGCUGUUUGCUGGAAGGAAACAGAAAGACGCCAUGGUUUGCAUUCCAUGCAUUGUCGCUCCGGUGUUACUGUUCAUCUGGUACCGGUUCAUCCAGCCCAUUGUGCUUUCAAUUUGGAACCCAUGGGCCAAAAAGGAGAUCAGCGUGAAUGCCGCAGGGGACGCCUCUGACAAAGAAAAAUCAAACAACACCGCCAAGGAGGGCGCAGCUGGUGUCGCGGAGCCAGCCCAAGUUGCCAGCAGCCCAUCUGAGCCACCUGAAGGUGCUGGAGUAUCAAAGAAAACAGAUUAACUGUUUAUGAGUCAUCAUUCUGUACAUUCCUAUCAACCAGUCAAGUGGCAAAUAUAAGAUGUUUUAAAUUGUGUUUUGUUACAUGUUUUCUUAUAUAUAUAUAUAUAUAUAUGUCACUGUUUUUCUCUGAUGACGGCACUGAGCUGACAUUACUUUCUUGUUAUGCUAUAUUUCAGUGAUCAAUAAAGUCUUCUGUAGCAUCACAAGAA